GUGGGGAAUAUUGGACAAUGGGCGAAAGCCUGAUCCAGCCAUGCCGCGUGUGUGAAGAAGGUCUUCGGAUUGUAAAGCACUUUAAGCGAGGAGGAGGCUACCGAGAUUAAUACUCUUGGAUAGUGGACGUUACUCGCAGAAUAAGCACCGGCUAACUCUGUGCCAGCAGCCGCGGUAAUACAGAGGGUGCAAGCGUUAAUCGGAUUUACUGGGCGUAAAGCGCGCGUAGGUGGCCAAUUAGGUCAAAUGUGAAAUCCCCGAGCUUAACUUGGGAAUUGCAUUCGAUACUGGUUGGCUAGAGUAUGGGAGAGGAUGGUAGAAUUCCAGGUGUAGCGGUGAAAUGCGUAGAGAUCUGGAGGAAUACCGAUGGCGAAGGCAGCCAUCUGGCCUAAUACUGACACUGAGGUGCGAAAGCAUGGGGAGCAAACAGGAUUAGAAACCCCGGUAGUCC
rnacentral:rRNA from 1 species